rnacentral:rRNA from 1 species
UACGUAAAGUGCAAGCGUUGUCCGGAAUUAUUGGGCGUAAAGAGCUCGUAAACGGUCUGUCACGUCGGCUGUGAAAACUCAGGGCUCAACCCCGAGCCUGCAGUCGAUACGGGCAGACUAGAGUCCGGCAGGAGAGACUGGAAUUCCUGGUGUAGCGGUGAAAUGCGCAGAUAUCAAGAGGAACACCGGUGGCGAAGGCGGGUCUCUGGGCUGUAACUGACGCUGAGGAGCGAAAGCAUGGGGAGCGAACAGG